AGAGCGAACGCUGGCGGCAUGCUUAACACAUGCAAGUCGCACGGGCAGGGGAAACCCUGUCAGUGGCGGACGGGUGAGUAACGCGUAGGUAUCUAUCCUUGGGUGGGGGACAACUGUGGGAAACUACAGCUAAUACCGCAUGAUAACUGAGGUUUAAAGGCGCAAGUCGCCUGGGGAGGAGCCUGCGUACGAUUAGCUAGUUGGUGGGUAAAGGCCUACCAAGGCUGCGAUCGUUAGCUGGUCUGAGAGGAUGAUCAGCCACAUUGGGACUGAGACACGGCCCAAACUCCUACGGGAGGCAGCAGUGGGGAAUAUUGGACAAUGGGCGAAAGCCUGAUCCAGCAAUGCCGCGUGUGUGAAGAAGGUCUUCGGAUUGUAAAGCACUUUCGACGGGACGAUGAUGACGGUACCCGUAGAAGAAGCCCCGGCUAACUUCGUGCCAGCAGCCGC
rnacentral:rRNA from 1 species